AAGCCGAUGCAAAAAAGAGCGUCGGUUGCCCUCUGGAUCGUCAUGAGAGCUUUAUAGCUCUCGAGGUGAUCGACUGGGUCGGUGGAGCCGUCGUAUGGCUCCACGUGUGGCAUCUUGAACCGACUGGAAAUCGGUUCGUCGAGGACUAGUCGGGAGAGAGGUUGGGCGGUCUGGAAGUCGACGUCAUUCGAAGACUUCUGGCCGUCCAUCUG
rnacentral:lncRNA from 1 species